rnacentral:rRNA from 1 species
UAGUCCACGCCGUAAACGAUCAUCACUCGCUGUUGGCGAUAUACUGUCAGCGGCCAAGCGAAAGUAUUAAGUGAUGCACCUGGGGAGUACGCCGGCAACGGUGAAACUCAAAGGAAUUGACGGGGGCCCGCACAAGCGGUGGAGCAUGUGGUUUAAUUCGAUGAUACGCGAGGAACCUUACCAGGGCUUAAAUGUAGUAUGACCGGUCUGGAAACAGGCCUUCCCUUCGGGGCAGAUUACAAGGUGCUGCAUGGUUGUCGUCAGCUCGUGCCGUGAGGUGUUAGGUUAAGUCCUGCAACGAGCGCAACCCCUAUUCUUAGUUGCCAGCGGUUCGGCCGGGGACUCUAAGAAGACUGCCGGUGCAAACCGAGAGGAAGGUGGGGAUGACGUCAAAUCAUCACGGCCCUUACGUCCUGGGGCCACACACGUGCUACAAUGGGUAUGGGACAAUGAGCAGCCAUCUGGCAACAGAGAGCAAAUCUAAUAAACCAUAUCAC